CCUACGGGUGGCAGCAGUGAGGAAUAUUGGUCAAUGGGAGAGAUCCUGAACCAGCCAAGCCGCGUGAGGGAAGACGGCCCUAUGGGUUGUAAACCUCUUUUGUCGGAGAACAAAACCCGGGACGUGUCCCGGACUGCGUGUAUCCGAAGAAAAAGCAUCGGCUAACUCCGUGCCAGCAGCCGCGGUAAUACGGAGGAUGCGAGCGUUAUCCGGAUUUAUUGGGUUUAAAGGGUGCGUAGGCGGUCCGUUAAGUCAGCGGUAAAAUUGCGGGGCUCAACCCCGUCGAGCCGUUGAAACUGGACGCCUUGAGUUCACAACAGGCAGGCGGAAUUCGUGGUGUAGCGGUGAAAUGCAUAGAUAUCACGAGGAACCCCGAUUGCGAAGGCAGCCUGCCGGGGUGCGACUGACGCUGAGGCUCGAAGGUGCGGGUAUCAAACAGGAUUAGAUACCCCUUGUAGUC
rnacentral:rRNA from 1 species